UCAGCACCAGGUAUCCACAGGGAGGGCCCUACAUCAUCUGCUACCCUGAAGGAUCUGGAGAGCCCGUGCCAAGAACCAGCAGUAGUCCCAGACUCCAGGUCUGUAAAAAUCAGUCAACUGAAGAACACCAUCAAAUCUUUGGUAAGAGUCCAGUGGGGUCCCCUGAUUCCAUGCUGCCAAUCUUGGGCUCGUUUCCCCUUGGGGCCCUGAAGAAAGGGGCUGGGGGCCAAGGGCAAAUAGGGAGCUGGGGCACCCAGGCCUCACCUGGAGGGACCCCAGAACAUGCAGCAUGGCUCUUCUUUUGCUGCCCU
rnacentral:sRNA from 1 species